rnacentral:lncRNA from 1 species
CGUUAACUGAAAAGUUCACUAAAAAACCCUGAAGGAGAUUUUCCUAGAUCCACUAAAUCUAUUUAAAAGAAAGCUUGUAGGCACCCUCAGUCUCAGGUUCAAGUUCAGUCACAAAUUGUAAGUGACCCUGGUCUCAGGUCCCUAUUCAGGGUGCCAAAUAUAGGCGAGACUGGAUCCUGAGCCCUACACUGCGGUGACACCCGUAGCAGACCCAUCUGGCCGGACUUGCUCAGGGACUUAGACCGCUACUUUGUUCUCCCUGACCGGGGGGCAAAUGAGGAUGAAUGACAGAGAGACAGCCAGCUUAACAGGUGGGCAGCAAGACAGGGGGUGGGGCCCGUACCCCUAGUAGGUAGAGGAAUCCUGAGCCUUUGGCUUGCCUCACUUUUAUUCACCCAAACAUGGGCACAAGGAAUCAAAGUAAUACAAGAUUCAUCUGGCUUUCAAUAUCCAUUAGUACAUUUUCUGGUAAACAACUUAACCUCAGCUGUCUCAACUUUUUCCUAGAAUGUGCAAGGUUUUAUCAACAUUAA